rfam:Bdellovibrionales bacterium RIFOXYC1_FTLL_39_130 rifoxyc1_full_scaffold_0, whole genome shotgun sequence.
CAAGUCCGGCCAUGGUAGCUCGUAAUGGAGGCCAUGUAUCGAGUCUUGGCCAGUUUAGGUAACGAAGAUUGGUAAGCGUAGACAGAGAGAUCCAUAGGCCAUUGGGUGGGGACAAUCACCCUUAAGCAAUACAGCUUCGAAAGAUAGGUCUGAGUCGAAGGGGCCGAGACUGUAUGAUGUGUGCGAAGGCAAUAGUAGGUUGAGCAAUUAACUUACCCCUUCCGGGGUCCGAGAGCA